rnacentral:rRNA from 1 species
CCUACGGGUGGCAGCAGUGGGGAAUAUUGGACAAUGGGCGCAAGCCUGAUCCAGCCACGCCGCGUGAGUGAUGAAGGCCUUCGGGUCGUAAAGCUCUGUGGGGAGGGACGAACCGCCACCGGUUAAUACCCGGUGGCAUGACGGUACCUCCUUAGCAAGCACCGGCUAACUUCGUGCCAGCAGCCGCGGUAAUACGAAGGGGGCAUACUUGGGUCGGAAGUAUUGGGCGUAAAGCGCGCGUGGGCGGCUUGAAAUCCCUCGGCUCAACCAAGGAAGUGCUUUCGAAACUGCUGAGCUUGAGUACUUAAGAGGAUCGCGGAAUUCCCGGUGUAGAGGUGAAAUUCGUAGAUAUCGGGAGGAACACCAGUGGCGAAGGCGGCGAUCUGGGAAGAUACUGACGCUGAGGUGCGAAAGCGUGGGGAGCAAACAGGAUUAGAUACCCGAGUAGUC